rnacentral:misc_RNA from 1 species
GUCUGCUAAGUUGACUCCAUACUUUACAUUUAAAUUGGAGUACGUCAUUCUUUCUACUAUUAUCAUCUAUUUUUGGAUGACGGUGGAUUGUCUAUUUUUUCAUCACAAUGUCUGCAAUAUUUAAUUUUCAGAGUCUGGUGUGUGUUAUACUUCUGUUAAUAUGUACCUGUACUUACAUCAGAUCUAUCGCUCCAAGUUUUUUAGAUAAUCGUUUAGGAAAAGUUGGGUUCCUUGGCUUGUUUUGGAAAUGUGCACGAAUUGGAGAACGGAAAAGUCCAUACGUGGCAUUAAGUUGUAUUUUCAUGGCAUUUAGUAUUUUAUUCUGGACAUAGACUAGACAUUUUUUCAAUAAAUUUUUAUAAAUUUGUACAAAGAUAUUUUGGAAAAAGAUAUGGAAAUGUUCGUAACAUUUAAUAAGAAAACAGAAGAAGAAAAGAAGAAAUUCCUUUUAAACGAACUGUAAUUUAUAAAGCAACAAUGAUUUCUAA